rnacentral:rRNA from 1 species
GAUGAACGCUGGCGGCGUGCUUAACACAUGCAAGUCGAACGGGAAUUAUUUUAUUGAAACUUCGGUCGAUUUAAUUUAAUUCUAGUGGCGGACGGGUGAGUAACGCGUGGGUAACCUGCCUUAUACAGGGGGAUAACAGUCAGAAAUGGCUGCUAAUACCGCAUAAGCGCACAGAGCUGCAUGGCUCAGUGUGAAAAACUCCGGUGGUAUAAGAUGGACCCGCGUUGGAUUAGCUUGUUGGCAGGGUAACGGCCUACCAAGGCGACGAUCCAUAGCCGGCCUGAGAGGGUGAACCGCCACAGUGGGACUGAGACACGGCCCAGACUCCUACGGGAGGCAGCAGUGGGGAAUAUUGCACAAUGGGGGAAACCCUGAUGCAGCGACGCCGCGUGAAGGAAGAAGUAUCUCGGUAUGUAAACUUCUAUCAGCAGGGAAGAUAGUGACGGUACCUGACUAAGAAGCCCCGGCUAACUACGUG